rnacentral:lncRNA from 1 species
UGUGUGUGUCUGGUCGUUCAAAACACAGGGGCGACACAAGGGUUCCCACAAAUGCAAAUUCCAUCAAAUUGAAGGCCCCAAAUCGAUUUUCAAGCACAAAUUCAUGAUCACCUCGUUGAAGGGAUCAUAAGGUGUUUGUUGAAAUGCCUAAAAGAAAACUAGAUGUUGAAAUUUUGAGAAUUGAAUCUUCAAGCGGUCAAGUCGGAGCGGACGCGCGCUUGAAGGAUAUGCUUUAAAAGGUACGCGACUUGUCAUCUCAUUACAUUUAUGGAGAUAAGCCUAGUCGUAGAUAUGUUUAAUAUUGGUAUGGCUAAAAUAGAUGCGGUUGGUGAAUCUAAGAAGUGAUGGAAUUCACUCGACAAACUAAGCGGGUCAAAAGAAAUAGUUAAAAUAUUUAUGAUGUUGAAAUAGUGAAAUUGUAAUCAAUUGGUAAGUCUAAGAAGUGAUGGAAUUCACUCGACAAACCAAACGGGUCAAAAUAAAUAGUUGGUUAGAUAUGCUUAUUGAUAAUAUUGUUUAAUUAGUCAUAAUGGGAAUGUAAGUAAAGUGAUGUAAGUCACUAUAUAAAGAACGAGUUAAAAUAAUGGUCGAAAUGGUAGUGUUCGAAGUGACUCGAACGUCACUCGUUAAAUAUGAGUUAUAAAAGCAGAAAACAUGGAUUGGAAGAGACACGCUAAGGUUGACAAUCCCGGGAAGGUGUAAUUAUGGUUAGAAAGUAAUGUCGAUGAUUUAUGAAGGUAUGUAACUUGUUUCGUUACAUUAUGCAAAUUAGGUAUUGUAAUCGUUCAUAGUUGGGUUGUAGAAUAAAGAUCGGUAUUAGUUGAAGUAACACUGUUCACUACUUGAUUUAAUGAGGUAAAAUUAGAUUAGAAAGUGUUUGGUGUCAUUAGAAAUGGAGGAUUCCAUAAAUGAGCCAAACGGGUCGAAUAAUUGAUUAGUAAGUAGUAAAAGUGUGUUUAGAAUAGCAUUUGACAAUGACGGAUUACAAGUGCGUGAAACCAUAGAUUUGGUAAUGAAACGCCGGUGAUCAUAAGCCUCGGAUGUUGGGUAAAUACGUUUUGCGGAUAUAAAAUUUGUUAGUGGUUAAAUUAAUGCAAAAGCUAAACGGGUCAAAUAAAUACAUAAGGCAUUUAUAGACUUUCAGCCCGUACAUCCAAUUUUUGAUAUAUUAAUCUUGAUAGAUGCAUUGGUAAUUUAAUUACGGACGCGUAGGAAAAAGAAUCGGGUAAAACGGAUCAAUAACGAAGAAGUUAUGGCCGUUUCCGUGAAAUCGGGUUGAGCUGGGUAUGUAUAGCAAUUGAUUAAGCAUCAGUCUGUGAAAAAGGGGGCCUAGCGUCACGCGACGCCCCUUGGCGUCACGCGACGCCCCCUGUUCCGGAAAUAAAUUUGUUUUGUUGUUGUUUGACCUAUGUAAUUUGUUUAUACUUAUUAUUUAACUAUCAAAACUAACUUUUAAGUUGGUUUUGAUCAUAGGUGAUUGCCACGAGUGCCCGGAUGAAGAUCAAGCUCGAAGAAGAACCGAACACGAUAAAGUUAAAAGCUUCCGCGCGACAUUUCAUCGUAUCUUUUAAACGACGAAUUCAAUCACAUUAAGUUAUUCUUAAACUUUUAUUGUAAAGUUUUAGUAAACUCGUAUGGACAUACUUACGUGUAAUCGUAUAAACAUGCAUUUUUACGAAACUUAUAUAAAAUAUUGUAUUUUUGAAAUGUUGUAAACAUGUGGGAAUGUUAGUAUGAAUAGUUUUUGUAAUGUCACAUUU